rnacentral:lncRNA from 1 species
CGCUGGGCGGCUUCGAUUUCGACGCAGACAAUCCCAGGUCGAUGUCCGUACUCUCACGUCCGUCCGCGAGUUGUCGCGCGGUCCACCAGGGAGAGGUGGCAAGCAGACUGUCCAACUGGCUGGUACUGCAUCGUUAUAGGGGACCGCUGGUCCGAGCCGCUACCAGGGAGGAGGCUGUUGACACUCAUCAGCUCUGGUCGGGCCACUGGGGAUGAUCGGAGCAGUAUCUUCACCGGAUUGAGAGAUCAAUGUCCGAGUUCGCCUAAUGUAACGACAAUGAAUGCCAAGCUGGCCGCUGCUUGGUCUGCGGUGAAGCAGUGGACACCUAAGCGCACGUGUUGCCGGAGUGUCCGUGCUUUUACGGGCCUCGGCUGUGUGCGCUAUGGAACAUCGUCGGCGCGGCCCUCGAUGUCAAGCGCGACGACGUGGUGGUGACCUUAGCCGCCGGCUACGAGGCCCGCAAGAGGCUUGUAUUGGCUACGGCGGUAGCUGUGGGGACACAGCAACAACGACAUCAACAGCUGGCGGCGGAAGUGGCCCCGGAGCUACGCACCUGCGGACAGAGCUACCGCUGAUCCACAUCUCAGCUGAUGAUGCUCAACAGACGGAGAGACUGAGGCGCUGGACAGCGAGUCUGUCUGUGGUUGUGCUGAAGACGGCGUCGGACGACCAUCAGUUCCGGCUGGCGAAUCUAGCCAGCUCCGACCCCGUCCAGCUGCCCGACGAGUGCUUAC